AGAGUUUGAUCAUGGCUCAGGAUGAACGCUAGCGGCAGGCCUAAUACAUGCAAGUCGAACGGAGUUUAGUAGCAAUAUUAAACUUAGUGGCGCACGGGUGCGUAACGCGUAUGCAACUUACCUUCAACUGGGGAAUAGCCCCUCGAAAGAGGGAUUAAUACCCCAUAGUAAUUAGAUAUCGCAUGGUAUUUAGUUUAAAGCUACGGCGGUUGAAGAUGGGCAUGCGUGACAUUAGUUUGUUGGUGAGGUAACGGCUCACCAAGACUUCGAUGUCUAGGGGUUCUGAGAGGAGGAUCCCCCACACUGGUACUGAGACACGGACCAGACUCCUACGGGAGGCAGCAGUAAGGAAUAUUGGUCAAUGGACGCAAGUCUGAACCAGCCAUGCCGCGUGCAGGAUGACUGCCCUAUGGGUUGUAAACUGCUUUUGUACGGGAAUAAACCCAGAUACGUGUAUCUGGCUGAAUGUACCGUAAGAAUAAGGAUCGGCUAACUCCGUGCCAGCAGCCGCGGUAAUACGGAGGAUCCAAGCGUUAUCCGGAUUCAUUGGGUUUAAAGGGUGCGUAGGUGGACUUGUUAGUCAGUGGUGAAAUCCUGCAGCUUAACUGUAGAACUGCCAUUGAUACUGCAAGUCUUGAGUGUGUUUGAAGUGGGCGGAAUGUGUCAUGUAGCGGUGAAAUGCUUAGAUAUGACACAGAACACCGAUUGCGUAGGCAGCUCACUAAGCCACAACUGACACUGAGGCACGACAGCGUGGGGAUCAAACAGGAUUAGAUACCCUGGUAGUCCACGCCGUAAACUAUGAUUACUCGAUGUUGGCGAUACACAGUCAGCGUCUAAGCUAAAGCGAUAAGUAUCCACCUGGA
rnacentral:rRNA from 1 species